UCUAUUCAAUUCCACUACCUUUUUCGUGCCCUUCAAGGUUGUGCGGAAGCGAUUAACACUAAUUUCAAUUUUCGGUCAAUUAUUUUGCAUCAUAUAACAUCUGGCAUGAUUAGGGAAGACACACUAAGUAUUUUAUUCUAUCCAUUUGUUUUUUCACUUAAUGAAACUGAAAUCAGAAAAAAUCCUGCCUGGUAGAAGAUACAGGCUGGCGACCUUUUACAAUUAAAAACCGUGAUAAGUUACCAAGGCAAGGCUUCAAAACAGGAUGCACAAAAGCUGCACACAUUACAUAAUGCCAUAGGAUUUGAUGAGUUUAAAGUACCUUGUUGAGGUAUUCGAAUUUUAACUAUUCCAAACUAUCCAACCCGAAAUUGGAAGAAAAAGUAUUUUAAGCGAACCUUGAACCCUUUUCUUCCACGUUCUUAUAAAGGCAUCUUUGCCAUCCUAACACAGCUCUUCAAAGGUUUAUUGAAGCUAGUGAACUGUGAUAUGCAAUAAUACUUAAUUCAAAUUCCCAUUACUAUGCCUUACAUGCAGUUAAAUGCGUAUUUUUUCGGAAUAAGAUAGAACUCAUCCAAAUGUAUCAUUUUAUCGGAAAUCGCAUAUACCAAACAUUCAAGAUGGCGGAGUUAUCAUCUCCCAAAGUCGAAUGCGAUUUCGUUAAAUUGUUGGGUACGGUUCUGAUUCUCACUUCAGUCGCGCGCGCAUCUGAUUUGUGUAAUCAGAUGAAUCAUUAGUACAUGACGAUUAUAAUUUUGAAAUAUGCAUUUAUUCAAAUAUUGAACUUGACAAGAUUCUGGUUUUUGACAAAUCCUGAAUAAAGUAUCGAAGGUAAACAGCCAAAAUUUCGUGGGCAUUAUAAUUUUCUACUACGUACUGGAUUUCGAAGAUUAUUGGAAAUGAUGAUCCGAAAUGAGAAGGAAUUUUGAGAGAAGAAAAAAAAUCGAAAAAUGCGCAGAUGGAUUAUUUUACACCAAUGAAUCUCCUCGACUUCUAGUAGUUUCCGAAGAAACGUUUCGAUAAUGGAGGAUAGAUCUUUUUACUGUUGCUUUGAACACCACAAAAGUGCAAAUUCAAAUCAAACUGCCCAUUUACUUGUUGACAGUUACAUGAAAUAAAGAAAAAAAACAACUUGGGAAUUGUGAUCUGAUAAGAUUGGACGUUUGAACAUCAAACAGGUGUCUGGAAUCUUAUUAAAUGAAAGUCAUGUUUUAGUUGUGGUUAUUAGGUAAAUAAUGAAAAAUGCUAACUCAUGGGAGAAUUUGACUGUCAUUCCAAAGCAGCACUCCUAUGUUAUUUCUAUUGAUAAUUGAUAAGGAUAAGAUAUUUGAAAAAAAAGUGGAACUGAUUCUUUUCUUUUCGUCGCCAAAAGAUGAAGUCAAUAAAAUACUCAAACAAAAUGAACAAAUCCCUGAAAAACCCCAAAUUUAUUCUUGAAAUUUUUGUUUCUAUUUUAAACAUCAACUCAUUGUUUUGGAUUACUCCUCUCAAAUGAAGCUCCUGAGAUGAAGCUCCAUAUUCAACUUUUUCCCGAUGUACAUAUAACUAGUUUUUUGUUUUGUCUUGAUGCCUUGAUGAUAAAAUUUGCUGCUUGAAGAGUUUGAAGUUUCAUAAU